CCAUUUUCCUCCAAAUUACUUCUCUCCAAAAUUACUUAUCCUUCUCAGACGGAAAAUCUCCAGCAAAAUCACUUUUUUCAAAAUCACUUUUUCUAAAAUCACUUUUUCUCCAUUGAAACCGUAAUUUCUCCGAUCAAAAUCGCUAUUUCUCAAAAAUCGCUAUUUCUCCAUCGAUGUUUCUCCUUUAUCAAUCAAAAUCGCCGCUUCUCUAUCAUCGAUCAAAAUCCCUGUUUCUUCAUCAUCGAUUGAAAUCGCAACUUCUCGUUCAUUGAUCGAAGCUUCUACUUCUCCUUCUUCAUUGAAAAUCACUGCUUUAACUUUCUCUUCGGAAAUCGCUACUUCAACUUUCUAAUCAGUUACUUUACCAUUCAAAAUCGCCCACGCAAUUCUCAAAACCUAAUACUUGAGAGAAGACUCAAGGUUGAAGCUGUAAUUUCUUUGAUUGCUACAAAGAACUUCAAUUACAUGGAAGCAACUCAUUAAUUAAGAUCUCCAACAAGUUAUGAUUGAGAUUUGAUGGAGAAAAUGCACCAUGAUUUUGAGGAAAUUUCAGUGGUACCAUGAUUUUGUUGGAGUUUCAAAUAAUGGUUUUUAUCGUAUAUUGCAGUAAACAAGCGUAAGAUAUAUCUAGUCCGGAACACUUUGGUUAUAGAACAUUAUUGAGACGAAAUCACCAUGUUCGGUUAAAAAUAAAUCCUUUCUCAGGUAUGCCUAAAUGAAGAAACAUGUUUUAUAUUCAUUCAGUGUAAGCUUUGUAUUGAUAUAACUUUGUAAGAUUUGUAUGGUUAUUGAUUGAUUUUUGUAUUGUGUUGCUACUAUUAUUUGUGUCACUUUUAUAGUGUUAAUUACUUAUAUUGUUACUUAUUGUUCUAUCUCACUAUAAUUGUUUAUUUUCUAUUAUACAUCUAUUUAAUUUGUCCCCUAGCAAUGAAUUGGUUCUUGUGAAAAAGUAAUCUGAAUUUGAGCCAAAGAGCUGUAGUGGAUGAAUUUAUAGUGUUUCUCUGUCAUGGAAACUAUCACUGCCCGAUUUUAUUUCCGUAUUUAAUUAUUAGGUGUUUUAUUUAUUUAAUUAUUAUUUAUGAGGUAAUUAUUUAUUUGUUGUAUUUUGGUGAAUAAUUGAAUAUGGGUGAUAUUUAAUUAAUUAAGUGAUUAUGUGAAUACUAGUAUAUAUCUAAUAAUGGGCCUAAUUAACUAGAAUGAGAGUUGGGUGGGUUAAGCCCAAAUGACAAAAUAAAGAUAGUAAGGGUUAUGUGAAAAAAACCUAGAAUUAGAUAAUAGAAAGAAAAGAUGAUAGAUAGAAGAGAAGAGAAAGAAGAGAAGAGAAAGAAGAGAAGAGGAAGAGAAGAGGGAAGUAGACUCUGGAAGAGGAAGGACUAGAAAUUCAAGGUUCAGACGAGUAGUUGCUUGUACGUGGCUUAGCCGAAGAGCUUCGAGUUUCAUUAUUUGAUUAGGUAGUGAGUCGAUGCUCUAGUCAUGUAACACUGGGUUAGGAUUAGUGGUGUUAAACUCAUGUUUUAUUCGGAUUUGUAUCUUGAUACUACCUUACAGUUUCGUAUGAUGUUUAUUGUUGUUGUGAGAGGCCUUAGUGCCAAGUAUUUUGGAUAUGAUGUUAUGAUUCCGUCUUGAAUACUA